ACUGAACGCUGGCGGCAGGCUUAACACAUGCAAGUCGAGCGGAGAUGAGGUGCUUGCACCUUAUCUUAGCGGCGGACGGGUGAGUAAUGCUUAGGAAUCUGCCUAUUAGUGGGGGACAACAUUCCGAAAGGAAUGCUAAUACCGCAUACGUCCUACGGGAGAAAGCAGGGGAUCUUCGGACCUUGCGCUAAUAGAUGAGCCUAAGUCGGGUUAGCUAGUUGGUGGGGUAAAGGCCUACCAAGGCGACGAUCUGUAGCGGGUUUGAGAGGAUGAUCCGCCACACUGGGACGGAGACACGGCCCAGACUCCUACGGGAGGCAGCAGUGGGGAAUAUUGGACAAUGGGGGGAACCCUGAUCCAGCCAUGCCGCGUGUGUGAAGAAGGCCUUAUGGUUGUAAAGCACUUUAAGCGAGGAGGAGGCUACUGAGACUAAUACUCUUGGAUAGUGGACGUUACUCGCAGAAUAAGCACCGGCUAACUCUGUGCCAGCCGCCGCAGUAAAAC
rnacentral:rRNA from 1 species